rnacentral:rRNA from 1 species
UCCGUAGGCGGGUAAUUAAGUCAGAGGUGAAAUCCCACAGCUUAACUGUGGAACUGCCUUAGAUACUGGUUAUCUUGAGUUUUAGUGAAGUAGAUAGAAUGUGUAGUGCAGCGGUGAAAUGCAUAGAUAUUACACAGAAUACCGAUUGCGAAGGCAGUCUACUAACUAACAACUGACGCUAAUGGACGAAAGCGUGGGGAGCGAACAGGAUUAGAUACCCUGGUAGUCC